ACGAACGCUGGCGGCGCGCCUAACACAUGCAAGUCGAACGAGCGAGAGAGAGCUUGCUUUCUUGAGCGAGUGGCGAACGGGUGAGUAACGCGUGAGGAACCUGCCUCAAAGAGGGGGACAACAGUUGGAAACGACUGCUAAUACCGCAUAAGCCCACGGUGCCGCAUGGCACAGAGGGAAAAGGAGCAAUCCGCUUUGAGAUGGCCUCGCGUCCGAUUAGCUAGUUGGUGAGGUAACGGCCCACCAAGGCGACGAUCGGUAGCCGGACUGAGAGGUUGAACGGCCACAUUGGGACUGAGACACGGCCCAGACUCCUACGGGAGGCAGCAGUGGGGAAUAUUGCACAAUGGGGGAAACCCUGAUGCAGCGACGCCGCGUGGAGGAAGAAGGUCUUCGGAUUGUAAACUCCUGUUGUUGGGGAAGAUAAUGACGGUACCCAACAAGGAAGUGACGGCUAACUAUGUG
rnacentral:rRNA from 1 species